CCUACGGGGGACAGCAGUGGGGAAUAUUGCGCAAUGGGCGAAAGCCUGACGCAGCGACGCCGCGUGAGGGAUGAAGGUCUUCUGAUCGUAAACCUCUGUCAGCAGGGAAGAACGGUCCCUUUGCUAAUCAGCAGUGAAUUGACGGUACCUGCAAAGGACGCACCGGCCAACUCCGUGCCAGCAGCCGCGGUAAUACGGCGGGUGCGAGCGUUAAUCGGAAUUACUGGGCGUAAGGCGCUCGUAGGCGGUAUGUCAAGUCAAGGGUGAAAUGCCCGGGCUCAACGUGGGAACUGCCUUUGAAACUGGCGGACUGGAGAGUGUGAGAGGAAGGUGGAAUUCAAGGUGUAGGAGUGAAAUCCGUAGAUAUC
rnacentral:rRNA from 1 species